UGUGCCGCAGCUGGUGUUGUGAAUCAGGCCGAUGACACACACCUCUUAUAAUCCGGCUAUUUCACAACACCAGGGUGGCCCUG
rnacentral:pre_miRNA from 14 species